GAACGUAUGGCUCAGUGGUCAGAGCGCUUGGACGGUUUCCAAGAGGCGCGGGUUUAAAUCCCGCUACGUUCU
rnacentral:tRNA from 1 species